rnacentral:rRNA from 1 species
UACGGGGGGGGCAAGCGUUGUUCGGAAUUACUGGGCGUAAAGGGCUCGUAGGCGGCCAACUAAGUCGGAUGUGAAAUCCCCCAGGCUUAACCUGGGAACUGCAUCCGAUACUGGAUGGCUUGAAUUCGGGAGAGGGAUGCAGAAUUCCAGGUGUGAGCGGUGAAAUGCGUAGAUAUCGUGGAGGAAUACCGGUGGCGAAGGCGGCAUCCUGGACCGACAUUGACGCUGAGUGGAGCGAAAAGCUAGGGGAGCAAACGGG